rnacentral:rRNA from 1 species
UACAGAGGUCUCAAGCGUUGUUCGGAUUCAUUGGGCGUAAAGAGUGCGUAGGUGGCGCGCUAAGUCAGGUGUGAAAUUUCGGAGCUUAACUCCGAAACUGCAUUUGAUACUGGCGUGCUUGAGGACUGGAGAGGAGACUGGAAUUCACGGUGUAGCAGUGAAAUGCGUAGAUAUCGUGAGGAAGACCAGUGGCGAAGGCGGGUCUCUGGACAGUUCCUGACACUGAGGCACGAAGGCCAGGGGAGCAAACAGG